rnacentral:rRNA from 1 species
GAUGAACGCUGGCGGCGUGCUUAACACAUGCAAGUCGAACGGAAAGGCCCAAGCUUGCUUGGGUACUCGAGUGGCGAACGGGUGAGUAACACGUGGGUGAUCUGCCCUGCACUUCGGGAUAAGCCUGGGAAACUGGGUCUAAUACCGGAUAGGACGAUGGUUUGGAUGCCAUUGUGGAAAGUUUUUUCGGUGUGGGAUGAGCUCGCGGCCUAUCAGCUUGUUGGUGGGGUAAUGGCCUACCAAGGCGUCGACGGGUAGCCGGCCUGAGAGGGUGUACGGCCACAUUGGGACUGAGAAACGGCCCAGACUCCUACGGGAGGCAGCAGUGGGGAAUAUUGCACAAUGGGCGCAAGCCUGAUGCAGCGACGCCGCGUGGGGGAUGACGGCCUUCGGGUUGUAAACUCCUUUCGCUAGGGACGAAGCGUUUUUGUGACGGUACCUGGAGAAGAAGCACCGGCUAACUACGUG